rnacentral:rRNA from 1 species
CGUGGGUAAUCUGCCUUCGGGUUUGGGACAACUCCGGGAAACUGGAGCUAAUACCGAAUAAGACCACGAGGUCCUUGGGCCUUGCGGAAAAAGAUGGCCUCUUCUUGAAAGCUAUCGCCUGUAGAUGAGCCCGCGUCCCAUUAGCUUGUUGGUGAGGUAACGGCUCACCAAGGCAUCGAUGGGUAGCUGGUCUGAGAGGAUGAUCAGCCACACUGGAACUGAGACACGGUCCAG